rnacentral:rRNA from 1 species
ACUAAUGAGUGCUUGCACUCAGCGGUCAAAGUGCGAGUGGCGAACGGGUGAGUAACACGUGGGCAAUCUGCCCAAAAGUGGGGGAUAACACUUGGAAACAGGUGCUAAUACCGCAUCAACCGGCUGACCGCAUGGUCGGCCGGGCAAAGACGGCGUCAGCUGUCGCUUUUGGAUGAGCCCGCGGCGUAUUAACUAGUUGGUAAGGUAACGGCUUACCAAGGUGAUGAUACGUAGCCGAACUGAGAGGUUGAUCGGCCACAUUGGGACUGAGACACGGCCCAAACUCCUACGGGAGGCAGCAGUAGGGAAUCUUCCACAAUGGACGCAAGUCUGAUGGAGCAACGCCGCGUGUAUGAAGAAGGUCUUCGGAUCGUAAAAUACUGUUGUCAGAGAAGAACACGUGAUAGAGUAACUGCUAUGGCGCUGACGGUAUCUGACCAGCAAGUCACGGCUAACUACGUGCCAGCAGCCGCGGUAAUACGUAGGUGGCAAGCGUUGUCCGGAUUUAUUGGGCGUAAAGGGAACGCAGGCGGUCUUUUAAGUCUGAUGUGAAAGCCUUCGGCUUAACCGGAGAAGUGCAUUGGAAACUGGAAGACUUGAGUGCAGAAGAGGAGAGUGGAACUCCAUGUGUAGCGGUGAAAU